GCAAGUCGAGGGGUAACAGAAGUGGGCUUGCUUUCUUGCUGACGACCGGCGCACGGGUGCGUAACACGUAUACAAUCUACCUCAUACUGGGGAAUAGCCCGAAGAAAUUCGGAUUAAUGCCCCAUAAUAUAUUUAAUUCGCAUGUUUUGAAUAUUAAAGAUUUAUCGGUAUGAGAUGAGUAUGCGCCCCAUUAGCUAGAUGGUAAGGUAACGGCUUACCAAGGCUACGAUGGGUAGGGGGCCUGAGAGGGUUAUC
rnacentral:rRNA from 1 species